rnacentral:rRNA from 1 species
UACAGAGGGGGCGAGCGUUGUUCGGAAUUACUGGGCGUAAAGGGCGCGUAGGCGGCCUUCUAAGUCGAACGUGAAAUCCCCGGGCUCAACCCGGGAACUGCGUCCGAUACUGGGAGGCUUGAAUCCGGGAGAGGGAUGUGGAAUUCCAGGUGUAGCGGUGAAAUGCGUAGAUAUCAGGAGGAAUACCGAUGGCGAAGGCAGGUCUCUGGGCUGACACUGACGCUCAUGCACGAAAGCGUGGGGAGCAAACAGG